UAUACUGGUCUUGUAAACCAGAGAAGGAGAACAACUAACCUCCCUAA
rnacentral:tRNA from 1 species